rnacentral:rRNA from 1 species
UACGGAGGGAGCUAGCGUUAUUCGGAAUUACUGGGCGUAAAGCGCACGUAGGCGGCUUUGUAAGUAAGAGGUGAAAGCCCAGAGCUCAACUCUGGAAUUGCCUUUUAGACUGCAUCGCUUGAAUCAUGGAGAGGUCAGUGGAAUUCCGAGUGUAGAGGUGAAAUUCGUAGAUAUUCGGAAGAACACCAGUGGCGAAGGCGGCUUACUGGUCCGGUACUGACGCUGAGGUGCGAAAGCGUGGGGAGCAAACAGG